AGUGAACGCUGGCGGUAGGCCUAACACAUGCAAGUCGAACGGCAGCACAGUAAGAGCUUGCUCUUACGGGUGGCGAGUGGCGGACGGGUGAGGAAUACAUCGGAAUCUACUUUUUCGUGGGGGAUAACGUAGGGAAACUUACGCUAAUACCGCAUACGACCUACGGGUGAAAGCAGGGGAUCUUCGGACCUUGCGCGAUUGAAUGAGCCGAUGUCGGAUUAGCUAGUUGGCGGGGUAAAGGCCCACCAAGGCGACGAUCCGUAGCUGGUCUGAGAGGAUGAUCAGCCACACUGGAACGUAGACACGGUCCAGACUCCUACGGGAGGCAGCAGUGGGGAAUAUUGGACAAUGGGCGCAAGCCUGAUCCAGCCAUACCGCGUGGGUGAAGAAGGCCUUCGGGUUGUAAAGCCCUUUUGUUGGGAAAGAAAAGCAGCAGGUUAAUACCCCGCUGUUCUGACGGUACCCAAAGAAUAAGCACCGGCUAACUUCGUG
rnacentral:rRNA from 1 species